UUAUCUCUAAAUAGUUCCUGAAUAAAGUAAAAUAUUCUUGUUGUAGACCCUCUGUUAAAAAGUGUUGGUCCAGUUUGUGAAGGAUUUUUCAACUGGCUCAGUUGUGAGGAGGGACUUAAUUUGGAGAUUCAGAGUGUCUAUUUUGGUCGUAAAGACAAAACUGUUUGUCCGGUUCCUCAGAAUUUAGUUCGAGCUGCCAGUCUUGUCAAACCUAUAAAAAAUGAUGACUGUGCUUAUGAGCGUGCACUUGAAGAUCUGCAGAGGUUCUGUUGGGGAAAGAGAAUCUGCUAUGUGAACACUAAUGUUGUAGCAAGGUAUGGACCAUUCUAUGAGAAUCCUUGUGAGCACCUAAACCCUUAUGUCCUGGUGGAGUAUGUAUGUAAACCAGUUUAUCAACAAAAUAACUUUCCAAAUUAUUUUAAUAUAUAAUCAGGAACUCUUCUUGAGAUUGUAAUCAUUUGGAAUAAAGGAAAAUUUCUUA